rnacentral:tRNA from 1 species
GAAAAUCCGUUGGCUUUAUUGACCGUGAGGGUUCAANUCCC